GCCAAUCUGGCUCGUGAGCAAGCACUGGCUAAGUGCCUCACGGCAGUCUGGUUCAGUGUAAGGCAGUUUCUUUUGAUUUUGUUUGGUAAACUCUCCCUCUCCUUUCCCCUUUCCUCUCUUCUUCUUCCUCUCCUCCUCCUCCUCCUCCUCCUCCUUUUGCAUGCCCUAAAGCGGUUCAGAUAACUCCACAGCCCCUUACCUACGAAAAGGCUGGCACAGGAAACAAUACCGUGUUGUCUGUUUUGUACAUCUCCAAUUUAUAGCCAUCCUUUGAGAAAGGAUAUUGGGCCUCAUCUCUGCCAAAAGGGCUUCGUAGAGCAAAACGUUAUGAUCCCCCCCACCCCCACCCCUGGUUCUUGAAACGCUUCAGCCAGGGUCUGUUUUCUUUCACUGUCACCUUCUACUCUGUUCUGCUUCGCCCCUCUCUUCUCCACUGUGCAUCUGCCAUGGAUUGUGGCUCAUAUAAGCCCUGCGAGGUGUUUCGGGAAAGUGUGCUUUGAUACAUGGAAGCCUCCCCUUUUCUUCGUACACUCGAAAAUGGAGCGGACUGUGCACAGCCGUCCAGUUGAGGGAGAGUGAUUCCACCUUUCGCUGUGACACAGACACCAUAGAGACAAAAUGCAGACGCAAACUACGAGCCGUGGGAGUGGUUCAUGCCACAUACAACUCUUGGCUCACCUUUGAUUAUGAUGUAACCAAGGAUGGUUAACAAUGGAAUAGAGAAUAAGGUCCAUUUCAAUGACUUAAUUCAGAUAUAUCAAGGGCUUUGGGGUGGGGGGAGAUGAGAAGGGCCUUUUUGUUUUGGAGAGGGGGAUAAAUUCUGUAAGGGCAUCCUGCGUCUUGUGGAAUCAAUUUAUUGGGGCAUGAGAUUUUGUGGAGUAGAGCAUAGAGCAACAAGGUAAAAGGUUACGACCAAUCCAAAGCGACUAUGGGGUUGUGGUGUUCAUCUCGCUUUCAGGCCGAGGGAGCCAGCGUUUGACCACAGACAGCUUUCUGGGUCAUGUGGCCAGCAUGACUAAACUACUUCUGGCACAAUGGGACACCGUGAUGGAAGCCAGAGCGCACAGAAACUCCGUUUACGUUCCUAUCGCAGCAGUACUUAUUUAUCUACUUGCGCUGGCAUGCUUUCGAACUGCUCCAGUGAAAACAGGGACUUCUCCUCCUCCUCCUUCUCCUCCUCCUCCUUCUUCCCAGUUCUUUUUCUGGGGGUAAUCAAGGGCAAACAAUACCAGCACCAUUUUUUCUAGAAGAAAAGCAUAGAUUACCAUUAUUAUUAUUUUACUAUUUAUACCCCACCCAUCUGACUGGGUUGCCCCAGCUGCUCUGGGAGGCUUCCAAUAUAUAUAAAAGCAUAAUAAAACAUUAAACAUUUUAAAAAACCUUCCCUAUACAGGACUCUCUUCAGAUGGCUCAGGGGUUGGAUAACUCCAUAGCCUCUCACAUUUCUCCACUUAAAAUAGGGACAUCCUAAGGCAAAGCAGGACAUUCCAAGAUCAAAUACGAAACCAGGAUGGCUUCCGUAAAUCUGGGACUGUCCCUGGAAAAUAGGGACACUUGGAGGGUCUUGUAGAGCCAACUUCAUGAGUUCAUCUGACACGGUGGACUCUAGUCCAGGAAAGCCUGUCUCACAACAACAACAGCAGCAGUAGCAGCAGCAGCACAACCCAUAGUGAGUGGAAGAGGGAUAACCAAAGACAGACCCUGAGCUGGCACAGUCAACUGGGCAGAAAGUUGGUGUCGGGUGGUUGUUCUCCAUUCCCUUCCCCUUUGGGCCUUUAUUUCACAGAUUUUCUGGAAAUCAAUAUGCCAACUCCAGGGCUGGCAAAAAUCCCACCCCCUGCCCCAUUCUGGGAUAUAUGUCAGGACUCAACACUUCCCUUGAUUUCUCCCUGGCAUGGCUCUGGCAUGCCCUCUUUUGUCAGCACAGCCACCAGAGUCCUGCCAGCCCAGAGCUGCAAAGGCAUUGCCAAUAACAGGAGGGCUUGUGAGGUCAAAUCCCCCUCUUCAUUUCCAGAGGCUUCCCCUUUGCAGUAGAAUGGAUGUCCCACUCUAUUCUUUGACCCCCUGGGACACCUAUAGAAUUGCACCCUAAAUCUAUCGGUCUUUAAGGGGCCACAAAAACCUGUUGUUGUUUUCUUUUGGCAAAGGGGGUUCUGCUCAAAUGUUGAGUUGUGCACUGAAGAAUGCAGAUGGUAUGAAUAUUGUUUGGAAGUUGCUUUUCAACCUCAGAAGUUGAAUACAUCCCAUUAGAGAUAUCAUGUAACCAAAAGGCAGAAUUAAAGAACGCCGACGAAAAAAAUCUGGCAACAAACCGCCAUCUACCAUUGUUUCAAUUAUAAAGGCUAUAGAGUUUCUUUUUGUUGUUGUUGUUGCUGUCAUUCCAUGCAGGAACUUGCUUUUUUAAAAAAAUCAGCAUGACGAACGAAUGACAUUUCAGGAAGACUGAAGCAAUGAAGGACCUAUAUGACCCAGCCUCUGUACCGACCUGCUGAUUUUCUUGACGAACAGUGACUGCAUGAGAUGGAAAUAAGUCAACUAACUAGCAGGAGAUAAAUUGAUACAAUUACCAGUCUGGUUUUACACAAAGGAAGUAGGUCAUAGAAGACCUGGUGCAAAGCCUGUUGAGGUCAAUGGAAAAUGAAAUCACUGGGAAUAUUUUCCUAGACUUCAGCACAGCUUCAGGCUUCAGAACUCAAAAUAUUAUUUUGUUGGCCAGUGUCAAAUAUCAUCAUAAUUGAGAUACAUGAGGGGGGAAGGUUGGAGAGAAGGGAAAUAAUGACCUUUAGGUCUACACAGGAGAGUCGUGUUCCCUGUGAUUGAAGGACGCCGGGAAGUAAAUUGAUAUGUUAUAUUGGAUUAAAUGUUGAUGGUGGAAGAGAGAUACAGGCUAGCUUAGCUGGUGAAAAGUAACUGGAGUCUCAGGAGGAAAAUGUGCCUCUCUUGGUACAUAGAAAUCUAACAGCACAACCAAUCAUAAUUACACAUUGGUCCAGCCCAAGGCAUUCUGCUGCCUGAGGCAAAAGGUGAGAUAUUGCCCACUCCUAUUCCAUGGACAGAAGCCAACCUGACUGACAGUUCAUUCUUUCUUAAACACUGGUAAUGGGAUGGAGUCCUCCACCACACCUGAGGUCAGUAGGCUAGCUUCACGGGCACAGGUCAGAUCACAUGCCAUCACCUCAUCACUUCUCCUUGUGCCUCAAUUUGCCUAAUAAUGGCAUGUAUAACUGGGCCUUUACAUUGGGUGAAAUUAGUGGAGGAACAUGACGGAAACUCUCUCUCUGUUGAGCCUUUUCUAUAUUUUAUUUGAUAUUUUCUCCCAGCUCAGGACCCUAGGCAGCUCUCAGCAUAAAGGAAAACAGAUACAACUAAGAACACUCAAGAAAUAAAAACAACAACAAUUAAAUAAGUAGCCCUAUUAAAAACAGCACUGAAAAUACUUAAAACUAUUUAAAAGCACUGGAAGGGGAAAGAACAACACACAUACCCUCAGAAGAUCCUGCCACCAAGCCAGUUGGUGGCCAGAGGCCCAUUGGAACAAAAAUGGUAUUUGCCUGCUGGUAAAGGGAAAGCAGGGGUAGCCUAGUCUCCCAUGGAAGAGGAGAGAUGAUCAACAGCCAUGUAUACUGAACAAGAAAUCUCUGGACCACAGC